rnacentral:rRNA from 1 species
UACGAAGGGGGCUAGCGUUGUUCGGAAUUACUGGGCGUAAAGCGCACGUAGGCGGACAUUUAAGUCAGGGGUGAAAUCCCAGAGCUCAACUCUGGAACUGCCUUUGAUACUGGGUGUCUCGAGUCCGGAAGAGGUGAGUGGAAUUCCGAGUGUAGAGGUGAAAUUCGUAGAUAUUCGGAGGAACACCAGUGGCGAAGGCGGCUCACUGGUCCGGUACUGACGCUGAGGUGCGAAAGCGUGGGGAGCGAACAGG